rnacentral:lncRNA from 1 species
GUACAAGCGCUUUCAAUACAGUGGGACCAGCCAUCUGGCCUCCAGUGCCGUCAAUGCUUCUCUGAUGUCAGAAGCAUGGCACUGAAGCGAGCUUCAUUGGCAUGUCGGUCCAGACGCGCUUGAAGUUCUCGCCUGUCUGUCUCCUCCAGCUUGGAGGUGAAGCACUAGCUGUGAACUGAAUGCAGAUGCCCUAGACGAGGACUGCUGAUCACACUUGGGGUGCCUUGGCCUUGUGGAUUGAAACAGCCAGAUUUUCUUUGCCUCCCUAUCUGCCCCUUCUCCUUAUCUGCAGUCCCCCAGCAUCUCUGGGGCAGGGACUUCUGAUCGCGGCAGGCCCAGCCUACCUUCAGCCGUCUUUCAUCUGCAAGGUCUGUUUGAACCUCCCUGGAGUGAAAGCAUAUGGUAAGACUAAAAAAGGAGAACACAAAGAGAGUUAAAAACACAAAUCUGAAUGUGAAAGUGCCAACAAGGAACCAAACACAGGCUGGCAUCUAUGGAUUCCAGACAGCUCUCCCUAUCAGAUCAAGUCAAAAAUUAAACCCUGCACAGCCUGCCAAGUCUGUGACUCCUUAGAAAACCCAAAACAGGAUUUCGUGGCUCCCUGGAAACAUUCGAUCCCACUGAACGCAGAACCUGCCGGGAUAAUCAGUGGAAUCCACUUCCGGGGGUGACCAUGAAUCAUGUUGCCAAGGAAAGUAACCAGCAGGAAUCAGAUUCAGGUUUCCGGUUAUUAUUUAGCUGGCUCCAAGAAGGGCUGUUGUAUAAUUUACUUGACCACUCCCCCCCCCCCUUUAAAAUACAGUCAGCUCAUCCAGUCAGCACAGCAGGAACCUCAGAUAAACCAGGUGAAGAAAUGGAACCUCACAACCUAGUGAGUUCAUUAUGAGGAUACUCUGAUCAACAAAUAUCCAGCUUUAUAACAUUAAACAUAUUAACAAGCUUCAGAACAAAACUGCUAAUGGUGGUCCAGGGAGGAAAGUCACUAGAGGUGGAAUUUUCAUCCAGCUUUAAGUUAAAGAAGAGGUGAGAAUUCUGAAGGCAACAGGAGUGAGAGGAGCUUCUGGCAAGAUGGCCUAAUGAGUCAAGCCUAAGCCCAGUGCCACUUCAAAGAAGGAAAGAAAAAGAAAAGAAAUCUUCACAGGAAAAACCUAGCAGGAAAAUGAACAGAAUGACUAAAUGAGCAAAACGAAAAGAGGCCCCACUAUGAAACCAUGACUAAAAUGAAACUGGGAAGCAUGUCUAAAAGGAAAAAGAAUUAAACAAACAGUAAACCUCUAGAAGACUGAGUGUACAUACCUAAAUAACCUUUAGAAUGUUUUAGAAUAACAACAAGAGAGAUAAAGGCUGAUCUACCACCUAAUUUCUUUCUUGUCCUUAAUGGAGAUUUCAAGGAUGUUAAGAACUCUGGGAUUCUGAAAGGAAAGCAAUUCAAGAGGAAUGAUGGAAAUCUAUCAAGAACAAGAUUAUAGUGAUGGAAAUAUAUAAAUUAUUUCAAUGCAGAAGAAUGUGGGAGACAGAACAGAGAGAACAAUAACUAAUUCAGAUUUUUUUAAAAAUAGUUUUUAAAAUAUGGAAGCUGGAACUGAGAAUAAAUGUUGAGAGUGCAUGAGACA